rnacentral:rRNA from 1 species
UACGAAGGGAGCUAGCGUUGUUCGGAAUCACUGGGCGUAAAGCGCGCGUAGGCGGCUGUGUCAGUCAGGGGUGAAAUCCCGGAGCUCAACUUCGGAACUGCCUUUGAUACAGCACGUCUUGAGUCCGAUAGAGGUGGGUGGAAUUCCUAGUGUAGAGGUGAAAUUCGUAGAUAUCUGGAGGAACACCGGUGGCGAAGGCGGCAUCCUGGACCGAUACUGACGCUGAGGAGCGAAAGCCAGGGGAGCAAACGGG